CCUACGGGUGGCAGCAGUAGGGAAUAUUGCUCAAUGGGGGAAACCCUGAAGCAGCAACGCCGCGUGGAGGAUGAAGGUUUUCGGAUUGUAAACUCCUUUUGUUAGAGAAGAUAAUGACGGUAUCUAACGAAUAAGCACCGGCUAACGCCGUGCCAGCAGCCGCGGUAAUACGGAGGGUGCAAGCGUUACUCGGAAUGACUGGACGUAAAGAGCGCGUAGGCGGGAUAGCAAGUCAGAUGUGAAAUCCUAGGGCUUAACCAUAGAACUGCAUUUGAAACUGUUAUUCUAGAGUAUGGGAGAGGUAGGUGGAAUUCUUGGUGUAGGGGUAAAAUCCGUAGAGAUCAAGAGGAAUACUCAUUGCGAAGGCGACCUGCUAGAACAUAACUGACGCUGAUGCGCGAAAGCGUGGGGAGCAAACAGGAUUAGAUACCCCUGUAGUC
rnacentral:rRNA from 1 species